rnacentral:rRNA from 1 species
UCGCCUGUUUAUCAAAAACAUGGUCUCUUGAAUUAUUUAUGUAGGAGAUUUAACCUGCCCACUGAAAAGUGGUUUGAAGGGCCGCAGUAUUUUGACUGUGCAAAGGUAGCAUAAUCAUUAGUCUUUUAAUUGAGGGCUGGAAUGAAUGGUUGGACGAAGUGAAAACUGUCUUAUUUUAAUGUAAAAUUGAAUUUAAAAUUUAAGUAAAAAUGCUUAAAUAUGGUUAAGGGACGAGAAGACCCUAUAGAGUUUAAUAUUCAUAGUUUUAAUUGAGUUUAAGAUUAAUUUUUAAUUAAAAUGAAGUUUAUUUAAUUGGGGUGAUUAGAAGAUAUAUUGAACUCUUCUUUAAAUUAAAUAUUAUAAGUAGAUGGAUGAUCCAUAAAUAAUGAGUAUAAGAUUAAAUUACCUUAGGGAUAACAGCAUAAUUCUUUUUGAGAGUUCAAAUCGAGAAGGGAGAUUGUGACCUCGAUGUUGGAUUAAGAUUAGUUAUAGGUGUAGAUGUUUAAUAACUGAGUCUGUUCGACUUUUAAAUUCUUACAUGAUCUGAGUUCAAACCGGAGA